CAGCCGCCGCGGUAAUACGAAGGGGGCUAGCGUUGCUCGGAAUUACUGGGCGUAAAGGGAGCGUAGGCGGACAUUUAAGUCAGGGGUGAAAUCCCAGAGCUCAACUCUGGAACUGCCUUUGAUACUGGGUGUCUUGAGUGUGAUAGAGGUAUGUGGAACUCCGAGUGUAGAGGUGAAAUUCGUAGAUAUUCGGAAGAACACCAGUGGCGAAGGCGACAUACUGGAUCAUUACUGACGCUGAGGCUCGAAAGCGUGGGGAGCAAACAGGAUUAGAUACCCCUGUAGUCCCUGUCUCUUAUAA
rnacentral:rRNA from 1 species